rnacentral:lncRNA from 1 species
CACUUCUUUUGCACUUAAGGGCUCGGCUUAAAUGUUACCUCACUUCCCACUACCCCAUCUAAAUAGGCUGUCCGUUUAUUUGGUAACUCAGUUCUUUUUCACCAUUGUAGCCCUAGUGCCCAGCCAAGUACCUGGUAUGUUAUGGGUGCUCAAUGAACAUUUAUUGACUAAAUGAGCAAAUAAGGGGAUGGCUAGAGGGCUCUAAACAUCAGGGCAGACAUGAAAGUGAAAUACGAAGUUAUUCUGUAACUAUUUCCUGCCUAUAUUAGCAAUUACUAUCUGCACCACUCAUCAUUUAACUAAAACCUGUAGUGGCGGUCGCCUGUGGUCCCAGCUACUCAGGAGGCUGAGGCAGCAGAAUGGCGUGAACCCAGGAGGCGGAGCUUGCAGUGAGCCGAGAUCACGCCAUUGGACUCCAGCCUGGGCGACGGAGCAAAAAAAAAAAAAAAAAAAAAAAAGAAUUCAAACCUGACCACCUGCCUUCCAGCCAGGAAAGGGACUGUAAAUAUUAGGAUAUGAAAGAAAGGCAAAGAGCUGUUGUGGCUACAACUCACAGAAAUGAGGUGGAGACUGUCUUCUCUACCCUCCAGACUAAUCCACCAAUACUAGACUUCAACACUAAGGAGUCACAGUCCGUAUCAUUCACUUUUCCAAGUGUUUCUCCUUCAGUUACCUAUCACUGAUGGCCUUAAGCCUAGACAUCUCCUCAGGUGAUUUCAACUUGGCCUUUAUGUUGACUUUAUGCCUAUCUUUUCCUUCACUCUCCUGGUUACUUGUUACCCUGAUUUGCGUCAUGUUUCCUUGGUUUUCUUUACUCUUCUGACUUCUGCUGCCAACUCACACAGUCACCAUAGGAUACACCUAUCAUUUCAAUAUUCAAAGGCACUGCUUCACCUCUGGUUUUUCCUCUAUAGCACUCUCCUUCAAUAUCCAUGCCUGACCCUUCUCACUUACACACAAUCCGAUCCAGUUUUACACCAAUGCUAAGGUUUUUAGUCUCUUACCACCUAUGUUUUGUUUAGAUCAUUCUUACUUCAUAGGCUGUGUCACUAGUUUGAACUAUUGAGUCAGCACCAUUCUAUGGUUUCUGUAACAUUGCUUGCAUCUUAAAAAUGGCAUUCUCCAGAGAAUUUUUUUUAAGAGGUAGGAUUUCCUUCUUUAAAUGCACAAAAUAGCUGGGCAUGGUGGCUCACGCCUGUAAUCCCAGCACUUUGGGAGGCCGAGGCAGGCAGAUCACGAGGUCAGAUCGAGACCAUCCUGGCCAACAUGGUGAAACCCUGUCUCUACUAAAAAUACAAAAAUUAGCUGGGCAUGGCAGCGCAU